rnacentral:rRNA from 1 species
AGAGUUUGAUCCUGGCUUAGGAUGAACGCUGGCGGCGUGCCUAACACAUGCAAGUCGAGCGAGAAACCGUUUAAUUGACACUUCGGUUUGAUUUUAGAGGACGGACAGCGGCGGACGGGUGAGUAACGCGUAGGCAACCUGCCCUUCACGACAGGGAUAGCCUCGGGAAACCGGGAUUAAAACCUGAUGAUACAUUUUUAUACUCAUGUAUGAGAUGUCAAAGAAUUUUAUCGGUGAAGGAUGGGCCUGCGUCUGAUUAGUUAGUUGGUGAGGUAACAGCUCACCAAGGCAAUGAUCAGUAGCCGACCUGAGAGGGUGAUCGGCCACAUUGGAACUGAGACACGGUCCAGACUCCUACGGGAGGCAGCAGUGGGGAAUAUUGCACAAUGGGCGAAAGCCUGAUGCAGCAACGCCGCGUGAAGGAUGAAGGCCCUUGGGUCGUAAACUUCUGUCCUAUGGGAAGAAAAAAUGACGGUACCAUUGGAGGAAGCCCCGGCUAACUACGUGCCAGCCGCCGC